rnacentral:rRNA from 1 species
AUGCCAGCGGGGGCGGUCGUGGGUGGCCGCGGCCCCGGCGGCUUCGGCGGGCCGGCCACGACCAUGCACCUGCGGGCGAGCUCGGACCGCGCCGCGUCGAAACAGCGCCGCGUCGCGCCCGAGCCGGCGGACGUCGGGGCAGCGAAGAAGAAGGUCCACCUUAGCCAGGCACCGGCGGCCGUCCCGGCGCGGAGGAAGCGCCCGGCGAUGGUCACCAUCGCCGAGGACGGGCCGUGCGAGUUCGGCGCCUGCGCGCUGAAACGGCCAGAGCAGACGAGUCGCGGCGCGGCGGUGGGCGGACUGGCCGCUCGCGGCGGUGGUUUUGGUGCCAUCAAGGUCGGGAGCGAGGCCUUCGUGAGCCGAGCGUGA